rnacentral:rRNA from 1 species
UACGUAGGGGGCAAGCGUUGUCCGGAUUUAUUGGGCGUAAAGAGCGUGUAGGCGGCCCGGUAAGUCCGCUGUGAAAGUCGGGGGGCUCAACCCUCGAAUGCCGGUGGAUACUGUCGGGCUAGAGUGCGGAAGAGGCGAGUGGAAUUCCUGGUGUAGCGGUGAAAUGCGCAGAUAUCAGGAGGAACACCGAUGGCGAAGGCAGUUCUCUGGGCCGUAACUGACGCUGAGGAGCGAAAGCGUGGGGAGCGAACAGG